rnacentral:rRNA from 1 species
AGAGUUUGAUCAUGGCUCAGGAUGAACGCUGGCGGCGUGCUUAACACAUGCAAGUCGAACGAAGCACUUUAUUUGAUUUCUUCGGAAUGAAGAUUUAGUGACUGAGUGGCGGACGGGUGAGUAACGCGUGGGCAACCUGCCUCAUACAGGGGGAUAACAGUUGGAAACGACUGCUAAUACCGCAUAAGCGCACAGUACCGCAUGGUACAGUGUGAAAAACUCCGGUGGUAUGAGAUGGGCCCGCGUCUGAUUAGCCAGUUGGCGGGGUAACGGCCCACCAAAGCGACGAUCAGUAGCCGACCUGAGAGGGUGACCGGUCACAUUGGGACUGAGACACGGCCCAAACUCCUACGGGAGGCAGCAGUGGGGAAUAUUGCACAAUGGGGGAAACCCUGAUGCAGCGACGCCGCGUGAGCGAAGAAGUAUUUCGGUAUGUAAAGCUCUAUCAGCAGGGAAGAAGAAUGACGGUACCUGACUAAGAAGCACCGGCUAAAUACGUGCCAGCAGCCGCGGUAAUACGUAUGGUGCAAGCGUUAUCCGGAUUUACUGGGUGUAAAGGGAGCGCAGGCGGAAGGCUAAGUCUGAUGUGAAAGCCCGGGGCUCAACCCCGGUACUGCAUUGGAAACUGGUCAUCUAGAGUGUCGGAGGGGUAAGUGGAAUUCCUAGUGUAGCGGUGAAAUGCGUAGAUAUUAGGAGGAACACCAGUGGCGAAGGCGGCUUACUGGACGAUUACUGACGCUGAGGCUCGAAAGCGUGGGGAGCAAACAGGAUUAGAUACCCUGGUAGUCCACGCCGUAAAC